rnacentral:rRNA from 2 species
GGUUCCUGUCCAACGUUAAUCGGGGCAGGGUGAGUCGACCCCUAAGGCGAGGCCGAAAGGCGUAGUCGAUGGGAAACGGGUUAAUAUUCCCGUACUUGGUGUUACUGCGAAGGGGGGACGGAGAAGGCUAUGUUGGCCGGGCGACGGUUGUCCCGGUUUAAGCGUGUAGGUGUGUGUUCCAGGUAAAUCCGGUUCACUUUAACACUGAGGCGUGACGACGAGGCACUACGGUGCUGAAGCAACAAAUGCCCUGCUUCCAGGAAAAGCCUCUAAGCAUCAGGUAACAUCAAAUCGUACCCCAAACCGACACAGGUGGUCAGGUAGAGAAUACCAAGGCGCUUGAGAGAACUCGGGUGAAGGAACUAGGCAAAAUGGUGCCGUAACUUCGGGAGAAGGCACGCUGACACGUAGGUGAAGUGAUUUACUCACGGAGCUGAAGUCAGUCGAAGAUACCAGCUGGCUGCAACUGUUUAUUAAAAACACAGCACUGUGCAAACACGAAAGUGGACGUAUACGGUGUGACGCCUGCCCGGUGCCGGAAGGUUAAUUGAUGGGGUCAGCGCAAGCGAAGCUCCUGAUCGAAGCCCCGGUAAACGGCGGCCGUAACUAUAACGGUCCUAAGGUAGCGAAAUUCCUUGUCGGGUAAGUUCCGACCUGCACGAAUGGCGUAAUGAUGGCCAGGCUGUCUCCACCCGAGACUCAGUGAAAUUGAACUCGCUGUGAAGAUGCAGUGUACCCGCGGCAAGACGGAAAGACCCCGUGAACCUUUACUAUAGCUUGACACUGAACAUUGAGCCUUGAUGUGUAGGAUAGGUGGGAGGCUUUGAAGUGUGGACGCCAGUCUGCAUGGAGCCGACCUUGAAAUACCACCCUUUAAUGUUUGAUGUUCUAACGUGGACCCGUGAUCCGGGUUGCGGACAGUGUCUGGUGGGUAGUUUGACUGGGGCGGUCUCCUCCUAAAGAGUAACGGAGGAGCACGAAGGUUGGCUAAUCCUGGUCGGACAUCAGGAGGUUAGUGCAAUGGCAUAAGCCAGCUUGACUGCGAGCGUGACGGCGCGAGCAGGUGCGAAAGCAGGUCAUAGUGAUCCGGUGGUUCUGAAUGGAAGGGCCAUCGCUCAACGGAUAAAAGGUACUCCGGGGAUAACAGGCUGAUACCGCCCAAGAGUUCAUAUCGACGGCGGUGUUUGGCACCUCGAUGUCGGCUCAUCACAUCCUGGGGCUGAAGUAGGUCCCAAGGGUAUGGCUGUUCGCCAUUUAAAGUGGUACGCGAGCUGGGUUUAGAACGUCGUGAGACAGUUCGGUCCCUAUCUGCCGUGGGCGCUGGAGAACUGAGGGGGGCUGCUCCUAGUACGAGAGGACCGGAGUGGACGCAUCACUGGUGUUCGGGUUGUCAUGCCAAUGGCACUGCCCGGUAGCUAAAUGCGGAAGAGAUAAGUGCUGAAAGCAUCUAAGCACGAAACUUGCCCCGA